rnacentral:lncRNA from 1 species
AGGUGAAUUUACAGGUGUAUGAUGUGCUCAAAAUAUCAUGAACUAGCCAGAGAACUGGACUUGGGAGUAAAGAUACACAUGUAUGUACUCACACCCUGGGAAUACUUUUCAGAAAGGGGUGGGUGCUCGCAAUGCACCCCCACACACAGUGUGAGCCUUGGUUACAACCACUCAACUCAUCCAGCCUCUUACUCCAUCCUGGGUCCCUCCCUCCCCGACAUUACAUGACCACCUGUACCCCAGUGUCACCAAACUGAGUAAUUAACACCUGCUCUUUUUGACAAACAAAAUUUCCUCUCCCUGCAGGACCCUCCAGACACCAAAGGGAAAAGCCUAGAGAAUUUCAUGUUAGCAGACGGGAAGCUUCAUUUCUUAUAAGCCCCAGGCACCUGGAAACAGGAGGACAUGCCUACAUUUGAGACUGUCCUGCUCUCUUACUGAUAUCCAGAGAGGCCCGUCACUUUCACUGGGUUCAGGUCCCCGCCCUUCUUUCCCUUGCCUGUGCCCUGAGCCCUGGAGGGAAAGCCCAGAUUGCUCAUAAGGUGGUGCCUCCAGAAAUUGCCCCAUCAUCCUUAUCAGACCUAUUUCACUGCCCGACCCAGACCUUUCCUUGUACAAUCACCCGAGAGGCUCAGCCAGAUGGUUGCAACGUGUGCAGGGGAAGAAAAAUGACUUACCCGAGAGCUGAUGGUGAGCUGAGAUUGAGCCACCCAUGGAAAGACAAAGCAGAACAUCUUCUUUCCCUAUCCGUUCAAAGCCCACCAACCUCAGCGUCCUUUGAGGCCCUGCCCUCUGUGAGCUCACAGUCUUCCAGGGGCCGAAUCCAAGUAGAAGGAGCUCUGCCAGCAAGCAGAAGGGUGAAAGAGGCUAAACUAUGUGAAACUGGGACAAGCCAGCUGCUUGUGACCUGGAAAGCCAGCAACUUCACAUGUUUCGACUACAGUAGCUGGAAACAAAAGGGAAUAUGAAGGAAGGAGCCAAGGAUUCAUCCCAGAGAACAAAGCAACCCUAUGGGAUUCAGAUGCAUUCUCUAUGAGGUAAGGAACUUGGUGGGCCACCGCAUCCACCCAGAGUCACUAAGAAGAGGGCAAUGAAACUGGGUUGGGGGUCUAACAGGACAGUCUUUGGGUCCCCCCACUAUACUUGGGCAAAUGAUCUUGAACCCAUUCUAUCA